AUUGAACGCCGGCGGCAGGCUUAACACAUGCAAGUCGAGCGGUAACAGAGAGAAGCUUGCUUCUCUGCUGACGAGCGGCGGACGGGUGAGUAAUGCCUAGGAAUCUGCCUAGUAGUGGGGGAUAACUUGCCGAAAGGUAAGCUAAUACCGCAUACGUCCUACGGGAGAAAGGAGGGGACCUUCGGGCCUUUCGCUAUUAGAUGAGCCUAGGUCGGAUUAGUUAGUUGGUGAGGUAAUGGCUCACCAAGACCGCGAUCCGUAACUGGUCUGAGAGGGUGAUCAGUCACACUGGAACUGAGACACGGUCCAGACUCCUACGGGAGGCAGCAGUGGGGGAUAUUGGACAAUGGGGGGAACCCUGAUCCAGCCAUGCCGCGUGUGUGAAGAAGGUCUUAGGAUUGUAAAGCACUUUAAGUUGGGAGGAAGAGCAGUUAACUAAUAUUUGACUGUUUUGACGUUACCGACAGAGUAAGCACCGGCUAACUUCGUGCCAGCCGCCGCAGUAA
rnacentral:rRNA from 1 species